UGCUCUGUGACCCCAGCACUUCACCUCCAAGUGCCUUAGGAUGGGGAAACUGAGGCACAGAUAGGGGAAUCUGAGGUCAACCAGCAGCAUGUGGCGUGGCAGAGGCAGCAGAUGGAUAGCAGCAGCCUGUUUUGAUGUUUGUAAUUCAGAAAGGACACACAGCAAGCUCGGCAAACAAACAGAAAGAGAAAAUAGGGAGUUGGGGUGGAAAUCAUAGCGGUGAUUGCAUUAAUGGCAUGUCAAGGGAGCUGGAGUUCAAGU